rnacentral:rRNA from 1 species
UACGAGAGACCCGAACGUUAUUCGGAAUUACUGGGCUUACAGAGUUCGUAGGCGGCUCAGAAAGUUGGGUGUGAAAUCCCUCGGCUCAACCGAGGAAUUGCGCUCAAAACUACUGAGCUUGAGGGGUAUAGAGGUAAGCGGAACUGAUGGUGGAGCGGUGAAAUGCGUUGAUAUCAUCAGGAACACCGGUGGCGAAGGCGGCUUACCGGGUACCUCCUGACGCUGAGGAACGAAAGCUAGGGGAGCGAACGGG